AGGCAUCUUAAUGAUCCCAUUGCCUCCAAAAUUUCCGGAAAACAUUCAAAUAUGGAGCAGCCUGAGAGAAUAAGCUUUUGCAAAGAUUUCAACUUACAAAUGCAACUUGGAAGAAUACGAAACUUUUUGCAAUUUUGCAUGCUCAAUUCAACGAGUUCAGAGCAAUACUCGAUUGAUGAUGGAAUUUCCUCUAUUGCUGUCCCACAUAAGAACAACUUCUUUAUGCUUUUUGAAACCUCUGGAAACUUGUUUAUACUUGAGCAGCCAGAGACAAUAAGCUUUUCAAGUGAUGCCAACUUAGAAAUGGUACAAGGAAUAUUCUUAAGCCUUUUACAGUUCUUCAGAUCCAAACAAGAGAGUUUGGAGAGCUCACCAAUUGUCGAGGGGAGUUCUUCUAUUCCAGUUUCACUUAAGUACAAGAAUUGGAUAUUAGUUGAAAUGUCCGGAAACUUGGUGAUAAAUGAGCAGCGAGAAAAAUUGGCAGUCCGAAGGAAUUUCAACAAAUGCAAGCUCUCUGGAAGAUACCGUAGUCGUUUACAAUCCUUCAUAUUCAGUGCAACAAGUCCACUGAGAUGCCCAAUUGAUUUGGGAAGGUGUCCUAUUGCAGUCCCAUUUAAAUUUAAAUACGUUAUAUUCUCUGAAAUCUCUGGACACUCCCUAAGAUUUGUGCAGCCAGAAAGGUUAAGAGUCUUAAGUGAUCUCAAUUUAAUGCCACUAGGGAGGCUCACAACACUUGUGCAGCAUCUCAUACUCAAAAAUGUAAGUUUGUCUAGAAACCGAAUAGAAGAGGGGACUUCCACUAAGCUAGUGCAGUAAUCCAAAUUCACUCUUUCAAGAUUCUUGGCUUGUGAGACGUCUGGAAAUGUGGUCAAGUGCUCAGAAUUACUAAGGCUGAUCUCUUCCAAACUUGCAAGAUUCUGCACUCCUUCCCAUAGUUUUUUAACGCAGCUGUUAGGCAAGUUAAGUUGAACAAG
rnacentral:misc_RNA from 1 species